AUGAUGCUCACAAGAAGACGGAGAAAUAGGUCACCGUACGACAUUGUGAUCACUUGAGACACACUCCAAACAGUUACUGCGGGGGAGAUGUAGACAUCCAUCCACUUCACUGAGGAAUGAAGCACACAGCAACCUUUAAUACCACAUGGAUUCGUCAGGUUGAAGAGUUGUUUCCUGAGAUGAUGCGAUGGUGAUGCCUCCUGUCAUGGGAAAACACACGGAGCUUCAGAAGCCUGAGAUGAAUCGCAUCAGAAGCUCCGCUCAGAUUUAAUAAAGCAAAAACAAAGAAGUAAAGAGAACAGAUCAGUGAACAUCCACUACUACUUAUCCACCAGCUACCAGCAACUUUUUCAAAGUCCUGCUGUACGAUGUCACUCUUUCAUUAAAG